UUCAGACGGUUCAGACCAACAAAAUGGUCGCCGAGGUCUGACGACGAGGGAACGUGAGUGUACAAAAUCUAGAAUUGUUUUAAACGGAAUUGUCCUACUAACGUUUAUCAAACGAGCAAAAUGACCACGUUACCUGGUACCGUGGCCUUCGACGAAUAUGGUCGGACCUUCAUUAUCCUUCGUGAUCAAGAGAAGCAAAAGCGUCUAACCGGCACCGAUGCCAUCAAGUCACAUAUUAUGGCAGGACGUAAUGUUGCAAAUAUCUUGCGAACCUCGUUGGGUCCUAAGGGCCUUGACAAGCUGAUGGUCAGUUCCGACGGUGAUGUCACUGUCACGAACGAUGGAGCAACAAUCCUGAAAAACAUGGACGUGGACCAUGAAAUUGCUAAAUUAAUGGUCCAGUUAUCUCAAUCUCAGGACGAUGAAAUUGGAGACGGUACUACUGGAGUAGUCGUUUUAGCUGGAGCUCUCUUGGAUCAAGCAGAGCAACUGUUAGAUAAGGGAAUUCAUCCAAUUAGAAUAGCAGAUGGUUUUGAAAUGGCAGCAGAGUGUGCGACGGAUCAUUUAAAAAAGAUUGUGUAUGACUUCGAAGGCACUCCAGACAACUUGGAGCCUUACAUCAAAAUUGCUAUGACCAGUCUUGGCUCGAAAAUUAUCAACAAGUGUCAUAGGCAAAUGGCGGAAAUAGCUGUGAACGCUGUGUUCGCAGUUCUGGAUCCUGCUACACGUGAUGUUAACUUUGAACUGAUAAAAGUAGAAGGAAAAGUUGGAGGCAGGCUAGAAGACACUAUUCUAGUGCGCGGCGUCGUUAUUGACAAAGAUUUCAGCCAUCCUCAAAUGCCCAAGAGAUUAGAAGAUGUUAAGUUAGCUAUUUUAACGUGUCCGUUCGAACCACCGAAACCUAAGACCAAACAUAAGUUGGAUGUCACUUCGGUCGACGAUUAUAGAGCGUUGCGCGAUUACGAACGGGAGAAGUUCACCGAAAUGGUAAAGAGAGUGAAAGACGCUGGUGCGACUCUUGCUAUUUGUCAAUGGGGAUUCGACGAUGAAGCCAAUCACCUCCUCCUUCAAAAUCAACUACCAGCAGUAAGAUGGGUCGGUGGCCCGGAGAUCGAGUUAAUAGCUAUCGCCACUGGUGGUCGUAUCGUUCCUCGGUUCGAAGAACUGACGCCAGAAAAACUAGGUCACGCGGGUGUCGUCAGAGAACUUACGUUCGGCACUACUAAGGAUCGGAUGCUAGUCAUCGAAGAAUGCAAGAACUCUCGAGCAGUUACCAUCUUCAUCCGUGGUGGAAACAAAAUGAUCAUCGAGGAAGCGAAACGCGCUAUUCACGACGCGCUGUGCACAGUUCGUAACGUGAUCAAAAACCAGAAAAUCGUGUACGGCGGAGGAGCGGCCGAGAUCUCUUGCGCUCUUGCAUGCGCGGCCAAGGCGAACAAGAUCAGCACCCUGGAACAGUACGCCUUCCGCGCAUUCUCCGAAGCGCUGGAAGCUGUGCCCAUGGCGCUUGCUGAGAACUCCGGCCUGUCGCCCGUUGAUUCACUGGCUGAAAUCAAGGCACGCCAGAUAGCCGAGAAUAAUCCUACUCUCGGCGUCGACUGCUUAAAUCGCGGCACUUGUGACAUGCAAGUGCAGAACGUGAUCGAGACGCUGACGAGUAAGGUACAACAAAUCAUGUUGGCUACUCAACUGGUCAAAAUGAUACUAAAGAUCGAUGACAUACGUUCACCGAACGACGCGGCCUGAAUAUAUCGCAUAAUGCCUUUCUUUAUUUUCAUUUCACCUUGUUCGCUUGUUCGAGCUUCAUUCACAAUUCUAAUUGAUGGAAUUCUUACGUUCAAUUAAUAUUUUCUCGUUCGUACGACGAUGAUAAUUUAUACGUAACAUGGAACAAAUAAAUUUGUCACAUCGAGUCAAGGUGUGAUGGGUGUAAACAAACGUUCUUUCUGUACAUUACGAAUCGUGGGAAUUCGGUUUCAAAAAGAAAUAAUGCUUUUUAUGGAACGUAUAUCCGUGAAGCGUACGUAAAUGCAGAUCGAUCGACGUAGGUAAUAGAAUUUUGUUACAUUCUAUUAAUAAAAUGGCACAAAAUAUAAUACAA